rnacentral:misc_RNA from 1 species
GAUGAAGAACGUAGCGAAAUGCGAUACGUAGUGUGAAUUGCAGAAUUCAGUGAAUCAUCGAGUCUUUGAACGCACAUUGCGCCCCCUGGUAUUCCGGGGGGCAUGCCUGUCCGAGCGUCAUUGCUGCCCUCAAGCACGGCUUGUGUGUUGGGCCGUCGUCCCCCUCCUAGGGGACGGGCCCGAAAGGCAGCGGCGGCACCGCGUCCGGUCCUCGAGCGUAUGGGGCUUCGUCACCCGCUCCGUAGGCCCGGCCGGCGCUUGCCGACGACCAUCAAUCUCUUUCUCCAGGUUGACCUCGGAUCAGGUAGGGAUACCCGCUGAACUUAAGCAUAUCAAUAAGCGGAGGA